GUCCUUGCGUCAGCAGCACAGAUAUUAAAAUUGGAACGAGACAGAGAAGACUAGCAUGGCCUCUGCUCAAGGAAGACAAGCAAAUUCAUGAAGCAUUCCUUAUUUUU
ensembl:snRNA U6 U6 spliceosomal RNA